AGCGUUGUUCGGAGUUACUGGGCGUAAAGCGCACGUAGGCGGUUUGUUAAGUCAGGGGUGAAAUCCCGGAGCUCAACUCCGGAACUGCCUUUGAUACUGGGUGUCUAGAGUAUGGAAGAGGUAAGUGGAAUUCCGAGUGUAGAGGUGAAAUUCGUAGAUAUUCGGAGGAACACCAGUGGCGAAGGCGGCUUACUGGUCCAUUACUGACGCUGAGGUGCGAAAGCGUGGGGAGCAAA
rnacentral:rRNA from 1 species